rnacentral:rRNA from 1 species
ACGGGAGGCAGCAGUGGGGAAUAUUGCACAAUGGGGGAAACCCUGAUGCAGCGACGCCGCGUGAGCGAUGAAGUAUUUCGGUAUGUAAAGCUCUAUCAGCAGGGAAGAUAAUGACGGUACCUGCAGAAGAAGUCACGGCUAACUACGUGCCAGCAGCCGCGGUAAUACGUAGGUGGCGAGCGUUAUCCGGAAUUACUGGGUGUAAAGGGUGUGUAGGCGGAGAAGCAAGUCAGGCGUGAAAUUUAUGGGCUCAACCCAUAAACUGCGCUUGAAACUGUUUCCCUUGAGAGUGGGAGAGGUAAACGGAAUUCCUGGUGUAGUAGUGAAAUGCGUAGAUAUCAGGAGGAACACCGGUGGCGAAGGCGGUUUACUGGACCACAACUGACGCUGAGACACGAAAGCGUGGGGAGCAAACAGGAUUAGAUACCCUGGUA